rnacentral:rRNA from 1 species
UACGUAGGGUGCGAGCGUUGUCCGGAUUUAUUGGGCGUAAAGGGCUUGUAGGUGGCUCGUCGCGUCGGGAGUGAAAACCCGCGGCUUAACCGCGGGCCUGCUUUCGAUACGGGCGGGCUAGAGUUCGGCAGGGGAGACUGGAAUUCCUGGUGUAGCGGUGGAAUGCGCAGAUAUCAGGAGGAACACCGGUGGCGAAGGCGGGUCUCUGGGCCGAUACUGACACUGAGAAGCGAAAGCGUGGGGAGCGAACAGG